GCUCGGGCUCAGUGGUAGAGCAUCUGCCUAGCAUGGGCAAGGCCCUGGGUUCAAUCCCCAGGACCA
rnacentral:tRNA from 1 species